rnacentral:rRNA from 1 species
GGUUAAGCGACUAAGCGUACACGGUGGAUGCCCUGGCAGUCAGAGGCGAUGAAGGGCGUGCUAAUCUGCGAUAAGCGCCGGUAAGGUGAUAUGAACCGUUAUAACCGGCGAUACCCGAAUGGGGAAACCCAGUGUGACUCGUCACACUAUCAUUAACUGAAUCCAUAGGUUAAUGAGGCGAACCGGGGGAACUGAAACAUCUAAGUACCCCGAGGAAAAGAAAUCAACCGAGAUUCCCCCAGUAGCGGCGAGCGAACGGGGAGGAGCCCAGAGCCUGAAUCAGCAUGUGUGUUAGUGGAAGCGUCUGGAAAGGCGCGCGAUACAGGGUGACAGCCCCGUACACAAAAGCGCAUGUGCUGUGAGCUCGAUGAGUAGGGCGGGACACGUGGUAUCCUGUCUGAAUAUGGGGGGACCAUCCUCCAAGGCUAAAUACUCCUGACUGACCGAUAGUGAACCAGUACCGUGAGGGAAAGGCGAAAAGAACCCCGGCGAGGGGAGUGAAAAAGAACCUGAAACCGUGUACGUACAAGCAGUGGGAGCACCCUUUGGGGUGUGACUGCGUACCUUUUGUAUAAUGGGUCAGCGACUUAUAUUCUGUAGCAAGGUUAACCGUAUAGGGGAGCCGUAGGGAAACCGAGUCUUAACCGGGCGUUAAGUUGCAGGGUAUAGACCCGAAACCCGGUGAUCUAGCCAUGGGCAGGUUGAAGGUUGGGUAACACUAACUGGAGGACCGAACCGACUAAUGUUGAAAAAUUAGCGGAUGACCUGUGGCUGGGGGUGAAAGGCCAAUCAAACCGGGAGAUAGCUGGUUCUCCCCGAAAGCUAUUUAGGUAGCGCCUCGUGAAUUCAUCUCCGGGGGUAGAGCACUGUUUCGGCUAGGGGGCCAUCCCGGCUUACCAACCCGAUGCAAACUGCGAAUACCGGAGAAUGUUAUCACGGGAGACACACGGCGGGUGCUAACGUCCGUCGUGAAGAGGGAAACAACCCAGACCGCCAGCUAAGGUCCCAAAGUCAUGGUUAAGUGGGAAACGAUGUGGGAAGGCCCAGACAGCCAGGAUGUUGGCUUAGAAGCAGCCAUCAUUUAAAGAAAGCGUAAUAGCUCACUGGUCGAGUCGGCCUGCGCGGAAGAUGUAACGGGGCUAAACCAUGCACCGAAGCUGCGGCAGCGACGCUGAUGCGUUGUUGGGUAGGGGAGCGUUCUGUAAGCCUGCGAAGGUGACCUGUGAGGGUUGCUGGAGGUAUCAGAAGUGCGAAUGCUGACAUAAGUAACGAUAAAGCGGGUGAAAAGCCCGCUCGCCGGAAGACCAAGGGUUCCUGUCCAACGUUAAUCGGGGCAGGGUGAGUCGACCCCUAAGGCGAGGCCGAAAGGCGUAGUCGAUGGGAAACGGGUUAAUAUUCCCGUACUUGGUGUUACUGCGAAGGGGGGACGGAGAAGGCUAUGUUGGCCGGGCGACGGUUGUCCCGGUUUAAGCGUGUAGGUGUGUGUUCCAGGUAAAUCCGGUUCACUUUAACACUGAGGCGUGAUGACGAGGCACUACGGUGCUGAAGCAACAAAUGCCCUGCUUCCAGGAAAAGCCUCUAAGCAUCAGGUAACAUCAAAUCGUACCCCAAACCGACACAGGUGGUCAGGUAGAGAAUACCAAGGCGCUUGAGAGAACUCGGGUGAAGGAACUAGGCAAAAUGGUGCCGUAACUUCGGGAGAAGGCACGCUGACACGUAGGUGAAGUGAUUUACUCACGGAGCUGAAGUCAGUCGAAGAUACCAGCUGGCUGCAACUGUUUAUUAAAAACACAGCACUGUGCAAACACGAAAGUGGACGUAUACGGUGUGACGCCUGCCCGGUGCCGGAAGGUUAAUUGAUGGGGUCAGCGCAAGCGAAGCUCCUGAUCGAAGCCCCGGUAAACGGCGGCCGUAACUAUAACGGUCCUAAGGUAGCGAAAUUCCUUGUCGGGUAAGUUCCGACCUGCACGAAUGGCGUAAUGAUGGCCAAGCUGUCUCCACCCGAGACUCAGUGAAAUUGAACUCGCUGUGAAGAUGCAGUGUACCCGCGGCAAGACGGAAAGACCCCGUGAACCUUUACUAUAGCUUGACACUGAACAUUGAGCCUUGAUGUGUAGGAUAGGUGGGAGGCUUUGAAGUGUGGACGCCAGUCUGCAUGGAGCCGACCUUGAAAUACCACCCUUUAAUGUUUGAUGUUCUAACGUGGACCCGUUACCCGGGUUGCGGACAGUGUCUGGUGGGUAGUUUGACUGGGGCGGUCUCCUCCUAAAGAGUAACGGAGGAGCACGAAGGUUGGCUAAUCCUGGUCGGACAUCAGGAGGUUAGUGCAAUGGCAUAAGCCAGCUUGACUGCGAGCGUGACGGCGCGAGCAGGUGCGAAAGCAGGUCAUAGUGAUCCGGUGGUUCUGAAUGGAAGGGCCAUCGCUCAACGGAUAAAAGGUACUCCGGGGAUAACAGGCUGAUACCGCCCAAGAGUUCAUAUCGACGGCGGUGUUUGGCACCUCGAUGUCGGCUCAUCACAUCCUGGGGCUGAAGUAGGUCCCAAGGGUAUGGCUGUUCGCCAUUUAAAGUGGUACGCGAGCUGGGUUUAGAACGUCGUGAGACAGUUCGGUCCCUAUCUGCCGUGGGCGCUGGAGAACUGAGGGGGGCUGCUCCUAGUACGAGAGGACCGGAGUGGACGCAUCACUGGUGUUCGGGUUGUCAUGCCAAUGGCACUGCCCGGUAGCUAAAUGCGGAAGAGAUAAGUGCUGAAAGCAUCUAAGCACGAAACUUGCCCCGAGAUGAGUUCUCCCUGAGACUUAAAGUCUCCUGAAGGAACGUUGAAGACGACGACGUUGAUAGGCCGGGUGUGUAAGCGCAGCGAUGCGUUGAGCUAACCGGUACUAAUGAACCGUGAGGCUUAACCUU